GAUGAACGCUGGCGGCGUGCCUAAUACAUGCAAGUCGAGCGAACAGACGAGGAGCUUGCUCCUCUGACGUUAGCGGCGGACGGGUGAGUAACACGUGGAUAACCUACCUAUAAGACUGGGAUAACUUCGGGAAACCGGAGCUAAUACCGGAUAAUAUAUUGAACCGCAUGGUUCAAUAGUGAAAGACGGUUUUGCUGUCACUUAUAGAUGGAUCCGCGCCGCAUUAUCUAGUUGGUAAGGUAACGGCUUACCAAGGCAACGAUGCGUAGCCGACCUGAGAGGGUGAUCGGCCACACUGGAACUGAGACACGGUCCCGACUCCUACGGGAGGCAGCAGUAGGGAAUCUUACGCAAUGGGCGAAAGCCUGACGGAGCAACGGCGCGUGAGUGAUGAAGGUCUUCGGAUCGUAAAACUCUGUUAUUAGGGAAAAACAAAUGUGUAAGUAACUAUGCACGUCUUGACGGUACCUAAUCAGAAAGCCACGGCUAACUACGUG
rnacentral:rRNA from 1 species